rnacentral:rRNA from 1 species
AUUGAACGCUGGCGGCAUGCCUUACACAUGCAAGUCGAACGGCAGCACGGGUGCUUGCACCUGGUGGCGAGUGGCGAACGGGUGAGUAAUACAUCGGAACAUGUCCUGUAGUGGGGGAUAGCCCGGCGAAAGCCGGAUUAAUACCGCAUACGAUCUACGGAUGAAAGCGGGGGACCUUCGGGCCUCGCGCUAUAGGGUUGGCCGAUGGCUGAUUAGCUAGUUGGUGGGGUAAAGGCCUACCAAGGCGACGAUCAGUAGCUGGUCUGAGAGGACGACCAGCCACACGGGGACUGAGACACGGCCCAGACUCCUACGGGAGGCAGCAGUGGGGAAUUUUGGACAAUGGGGGAAAGCCUGAUCCAGCAAUGCCGCGUGUGUGAAGAAGGCCUUCGGGUUGUAAAGCACUUUUGUCCGGAAAGAAAUCCUUGGCCCUAAUACGGUCGGGGGAUGACGGUACCGGAAGAAUAAGCACCGGCUAACUACGUG